rnacentral:lncRNA from 1 species
CUCCAGGAAUACUUGAUGGACAUGAUUUCCUACAGGCAAAAGGAAAUAAACAGCUCUGCAUACGUAAAGGGCUGAGGUCAUUGCCCCUUGGUGUUUCUCACCUGGCAGGAGAGAGGAGGGGCUGUAGAAUUUAGCAGGGAGACAAUGAUGGUGACUCAGUGCUGAAAGUUUCCCGCAAGCAGACACAGGCCACUUUCCCUGUGUCUACUCACAAGCUCACCCAAGAAAGAGCCUAUGCCUUCGGGGCUCAUCUCCUCCCUGUCAUCUCUCUCCUCACAACUAAAAGGAAGGCCUAGAACAGCUCCACUCAGGGAAUGAGUGCAGGAGAAUCACCAGGACAUGGUGGGCCAAUGCAGAUUUGGAUUCAGUAGCUCCUGGGUGGUAGGACCUCACAGUCUGCAUCUCUACUAAACUCCAGCUCCUGGUGACCUUGAAUCUACUUUCUGCUGCUGAGAAUUUACCUAUUUUGGAUGCUUCAUGAGACGAUUCCUCUUAGCAAAAGGGCACUGUGUACCCUCCAAGGCUGGAAAUGAUAGGUUUUCGGCGAGGAGUGAAAAUAUUGUGCUGACAGCCCUUUGCCUGUGUAGAGCAGGGUUGUUUACUCGCGCUGGAGCACAGCUUUAUUGAAGCAGAGAGUCAUGGUCCCAUCAUCAGGGUUGCCUAGCAACCAGUCUACGCCACUCCACAGAGUUUCAGAAUGGGCUGGACCACAAGUACCCACUUUGGGGGAUUUCCAGUGACAGUCCUACUCUCACUCCAUCACAUCGCUUCUAAAAUCUGAGUCACAUGGUUCAAAUUUCACAGUACAAAGUGUGUUCUUCAGAUCUGGGGUUCUCUCCAAAAUGGAUAAUCAUUAUUGAUUUUGUAAUGCAAUGCCAAGACCAUCAGUAAGGUUAUGUGAAGUUGGCAGUUCCCAAGGGCUUUAGGCUUGAAGCUGUGGGUCAUACCCCUUCGGAAACUUGGUCCCCAAGAGAAAUGUAUGCUUCUGAAAACCACAGGUGCAUGAAUCGUGUUUAGUAAAUGACUACUAAACUGAAAUCAGGACUUGUCUAUAUCUUGGCUUCUCAAACUUGAAUAUGCUUAUCAUCUGGAUAGCAAAAGCAUUCCUACACGUUGAGGCCUGCCAGCGUGGGUGUCACCCAGGAGCCACUCGGAAAGGCUCAUCGGAAACCACCCCGGACUGACUGAGGCAGAAUCUCUGGGGGCAGGACCCAGGCCUCAGCAUAAAAACUCCAGGUGACGGAAGAGCUCCCACCUAACAGGUGUGUUGGCAUUGUUGUAGGUGACUGACGUAGUUUCCCAUCUCACAACUCUACCUCCAUGAAGAAAAGUCAUGGAAAAUUGAGACUUUGGGCUGAGUGUGGCUCAUCCCUGUAAUCUUAGUGCUUUGGGAGGCUGAGGUAGGAGGAUCGCUUGAGGCCAGGAAUUUGAGGCCAGCCUGAGCAACAUAGUGUCUCUUCAAAAAACUAAGUUUAUUCUUUCCUCUUUUUUAGUUUUUAUUUUACACGGCUCACUGUGGCUUUGACCUCCCAUGCUGAAGCGAUCCUCCUAUCUCAACCUCUCAAGUAGCUGGAAGCACAGGCAUGCACCACCACACCUGGCUAAUUUUUUUCUUCCUUUUUUAAAGAGACAGUCUUGCCAUGUUGCCCAGGCCCUGUUGACCAGGAAAAAAAAAAGUUUUUUUUCUUUUUUAAAGAAAGAAAAUAAAAGAGACUGAGAAACCACAGAAAUAAAGAAGCGCUGAUGACAAUGCCUGCUUGCUGAUGGUUACGAUGAUCAUAGCAGUGUGCAUUUUGUAUGCAUGAAGCCUGCGACUAAAUAAACGUGUGGGGAAAUAUUUGUAAGGAAAUAAGCUAUUAAUAAAAUAAGCUAAAAUCACAGUUGCUGGACUAUGACUGAUUUUUCCCCUUUCUCUCAUUUAAAAUUAAAUAUUUGUAUGACUUGUAUAAUAGAAAAAUACAUGUAUUCAAUCUUAAAAAGAUAUUCUUAUUUUACACUUUACGGGACAAAAGAGGUUGUAGGUUGGAAUGGUUCAGUCCCCUUGUGACAACUCAAAAACAGAGACCUUAAGCCUUUCUCAACCAAUGUUGCGGGACAAGCAGGCGUGUGAGGCGACAAUGCCAUUAGGGUAUUUUUUGGAAAAAUUUUAGUGUGAGAGACAAAAGCCAAAUUCAAACUGGCCUGAGCCAAAAUAGGUAGGAAAGGGAGAAGCGGAGACAGGGAGGAAGAAAGAGAGAGAACAGAAAGAAAAAGGGAGAAAUGUCGAAAGGCAAAAUUACAACACAUUUAGUUAAAUGAUUGAAUUGGUUUUUAUUUGUAAUUCAUGAAUUGGGGCAGCAUCUCCUCUAAAACUUUAGGAAAAGUGCUCUGAUGAGCUAAACAGAGAAGCUUGGCUUUAUAGGCAGAAAAGGGUGAAGAAAGCAGACACAGGGAACAAAAAGCAGAUUGGUAAGCUCAGGUUACUUCAGGUUACUUUCCUUAUAAAGGUUAAAGUAGAGGGGACUUCCUUAUCAUGCUGGCUACAACUGGCCUGUUUGGGGAUUUGCAUAUUAUCUCUCUCUGUCUUGAGUUCUGGGAAGGUCUGAUGACUUAGUUUCAGUUUGGUGAUAUGGAACUUAGCAUGAGUGACUCCAUCUUGGUUUGGUCUACUGGGGCCUCCUGCAGGAGCUCAGCCCAAAUCAGUGACCUCCUAUAAAUUUCAUUUAAUAGAAAAGGAAGGAAGGAAGGAAGGAAGGAAGGAAGGAAGGAAGGAAGGAAGGAAGGGAGGGAGGGAGGGAGGGAGGGAGGGAGGAAGGGAGGAAAGAAGGAAGGAAAGAAAGAAAGUUGCUUAUAAGUUGCUUAUAACUAAAAAGACCAGCUGGACCCAGGAGCUCUGAGGUUGCUUUCAGGCCUCUGUCCAUCUCUUAGUUUUCCAUCCUCAGACAGGCUCUGCCCUGCCUUACAGUCUAGCAUUGUUGGCCAAAGGUGACUGACUGGCCCAGCUUGGGCUAUAUGUCCUUCCCUGUGGCCAGAGAGAUGUGUCUCUGUGAUGGCCAGGCUUGGGUCACGUACUCCCUCCCCUACCAGAAUCACAUGAAAAGAGGGAGGAAGAGCCGCUUUCCACCAAAGGAAACUGAAGUGCUAUUGUCAGAGGGGUUGCUGGGCAGACCAAAAAGAUGACAAUAUCUGCUCCAAUCGCUCGGGUUGUUGGUGCUUGGCAGAUUUGCCCCUACGUCACUUUUCAGAUGUGGAUAAGACUGAAGGUGACCACAGGCUUCCGAGAGGAAAGCUGCCAAUGGGGGUGUGAGAGGAGGGGGAAUUCUUACUCACCAAGGUUAACACUGUGCACACUGUUCUCCGAGGAAGUGGGAAUUUCCACAUGGUGAGUUCCCUUCCCUGUACAAUGAAUUACUAUCUUGAUGAGAAACCCGUGGGCAGCUGGUUGAGAAGAGAAAGGUAUUCUCUGAAUGAGAGGGAAUUUACCACCUUCCUUUCAAUGGUGACAGUUUUUUCUGGUGUCACCGCAGGGUGUGGAUUGAUUCAUAUACAAAUAUACAUAUCUACAUAGAUGCCAUUCUGCUAGCCUCUGCAAAAUGCAUGCCUGGAGACCAUUUCUGCUGCCUAGGAGAUGUCAACUUUGUCACCACCACUCUCUCUCCACCACUCCCACACCCUGCAGGGGCCAGGUGUGUGGGUGGGGAGCUCCCCAGCUGGAGGCCAGAUUAGAGGUCUCUGUGUGGUGGGGAUGGGGAGGAUGGGGUGGGAAUGAGGUGGUAGGCCACUGGCAGUGGUCCAAGUUCCAUCCAGGAUCUGUCCUAGGCCUCUCCCCAGGCUGUCGCUUCCACCAUUGAAUUUCUAACCUGGAUCUCUAAGGUUAUGAAUAUCUCAUUCCCGCAUCCUGGGGUGCUCAGACAUGUCUCCCCUGAGUCUCUAGCUGGGCUCGUGGCUGUGAUCAUUGUCCUCAGAGUUCCAUCCUCCCAACAAAGGGACAGAAGAAACACAGGGCCCACUUUUCUGGAUUCUGAGUUGGAGCCAAGAAAUUCUAUCUGCUGCUUCCUUCCUGUUGAAUUAUCCCCCAAGGACCCCUUAGUCCCUCCAGUCUCCUCCAGAGGCCUAUAGCUGCCCCAGCUCCCCAUGAUGGAUACCUGGCUCUUUCCUACCCAGAGGAAAACGCAGGCCCUUCCCCAGCCCUGCACUGAACUCCUGUGAGUGGCUGAGGAGAUGAGGAGGUGUGAAGAGUGAGUGUGUUGGGGAGGGAGGGGUCCCCUGCCACCAGGUACCAAGGACUUCUGCCAGAUCACCAGAACUGACACCUGGUUCCACCGGCCAGCUGUGAAGUGUCGGCCCUGACAUCAACAGCUGACCUCCCACAGGGCCUAAGGAAACGGAAUUGUGGGUAAAUGAAACAUUUUAUUUAUUUUAUUUUGUUUUAUUUUUAUAAAUUUUUGGGGAGACAGUUUUGCUAUGUUGCCAAGGCUGGGCUUGAUCUCCUGACCUUAAGUGAUCCUCCUACCUUGGCCUCCUGUGCUGAGAUUACAGGUGUGAAUCACCAUGCCUGGCCAAGAAGUGAAUUUGUAAAAGACAUGAGGAAAGGCCUGGUGGAAAGCUAACAGUGAAAAAAAUUUUCAAUACUUGCUAUAGAAACUAAAGAAACUCACAAUAUUUUGCUCUCUAUUGGAUCAUUUCCAUCAACAUACAAAUAAAUACCUGUUAUUUUUUCCAUCUUUAAAAAAAUGCCUUCAUUAUAAGUGAUUCAACAAAUUAAUAAACGAGAAGGGAAAAAUCUUCUCUAUAGAAGAAUUCCAAAUAGCAUAUGUAGAUACUCUCCCCUCCAGGAAGCCGAGCUUAAAUCCACUCUCUUUGAGAGUGGACUGGAUUUAGUGACUCACUUCCAAAGAGUAGAGUAUGGAAAGGGAAAAUAGUAACUUUAUAGGAAAGAAACCCAGCAGGUACCUUGUUAACCAAAUGAUGAAGGUUAACAUCACCGCUGAUAAGUCAUGUUGCUAUCAUUCACCCGCUGAUACGAUCUCAUGAGAAGGGCAAUUCCCGACUGUGGUAUUCUUCAAAUCUAUUGAGUUAUAAGAAAACAUGAGAUAAACCCAAACUGAGGAACAUUCUACAGAAUACAUGACCAGUAUUCUUCAAAGCCCUUAAGGUCAUGAUAAACAAGGGAAGACUAAGAAGUGAUCACAGAUUGGGAUGACUGAGACAUGAUGACAAAAUGCAGAGUGAUAUCUUGGAACAGAAAAAAGACAUUAGUGAGAAAAUUCAAAAAACUCUGAUUAGAGUUGAUAGUUGGGCUAUUAGUUUUAUACCAAUGUGAAUUUCUUAGUUUUGACAAAUAUACGUGAGGGAAAGCUAGGCGAAGGGUAUUCUGGAAAUCUCUACCCUGUACUGUCUUUUCAACUUUUCUAUGAAUCUAAAGCUCUUCCAAAGAUAAGUCUAUUAAAAAAAUAACAAAAACUUCCUCUAAAAUUUAAAGACGGACAAUAUCAGGUGUUGAUAAAUCUGUGGAGAAUUUGGAGCUCAUACAUUGCUGGUGAGAAUGUGAAAUUAUGUAGUUAUUUUGGAAAACAGUUCGGUAGUUCUUAUAAAAUGAAAGAUACAUCACUAAAUGACCCAACGAUUCUACUCCUUGAUAUCUACCCAGUAGGAAGGAAAUGAUGUCCGUACAAAGACUUGUAUACAAAUAUUCAUACCAUUUUUCAUCAUAAUGGCCCAAAACUAGAAACAACUCAAAUGUCCAUCAACAAGUAAUGGGUAAUCAAAUUGCGGUAUAUAUAUACAAUGAAAUAUAACUCAAUAUAAAGUAAGAAACUACUCAUAGAUACAGCAACAUGGAUAUUUCUCAAGUAUAUGCUGAGCAAAAAAAGCCAGACACAGGAGCACAUCCUAUAUGAUUCAAUUUAUACGACAUUUUAGAAAAGGCAAAACUAAUCUCAGAGACAGAAAGCAGGUCUGUGGUUGCCUGGAGCUGCGGAUUGGGGAGGGGAUGAUGGGAGAGAUUGACAAAAGGAGCACAAGGAACCUUUUGGGGUGAUGCUGGUAAUAUAUAUCUUGAUUGUUGUGGUGGUUACAUGGAUGCAUACAUUUGUCAAAAAUCAUUAAACUGUAUACUUCAAAUUUAUUAUAUGUAAAUUAUGCCUUAAUAAAGUUGAUUUUCUGAAAAGCUUUCUUUGAUCCGUUUACCCUGCCAGCUCCCCUUUUGCAAGACUCCUGAAAGAGCUGCUGAUACUCACUGUCUCCACUUCUACCCCAUAUGUUCUUUCUGAAGCCCACCCCAGCCAGGCUUCUAUUCCCAUCAUGCCAUGGAAACCAUUCUCAUCAAGGCGGCAGUGACCUCCGUGUUGCUAAAUCCAAUGAGCACUCACCACUUUCCAGUACAGUAUAUUAUUCAACCUGCUUGUUUAUUUUGUUUACUUUUCAUUGUCUAUCUACUCAAAGGCAGGAAACUGCUUUGUUCACGGCUGUAUCCCAAGUCCUAGAGUAGUGCCUGGCCCGUAGUAGCUGCCCAGUAGGUACUUGUUGAAUGAAGUAAUAAAGUUUCACCAGCAAGAGCAAACUUCCUACCUCUGGCCUAUCAGCCCAGGUCUGAGCAGACUGAUCCAGGAGACGACAGAGAAAAGGUGGAUCUGGAGGGAUCCUGCCCUGUCCCAGGAUUGGGAGAAUUGAGAGAGGCUCCGGAUUCUUCUUCAUUGUCUUUGGUUGUGCCUCGUGACCUCAGACAGACCUGGGCCUCUGGUUCGCUAGGCUGCAGCUGUGUGCUCAGAGCCACUGCCCACCGCUUAACGUCAUAGUUCUCAGGGGACCUUCCAGGAAUACUCAGAGGACAUAUGUCUGUGACUGCACUGUCCAGGGUACCAGCCACUGGCCAUGUGGCUACUGAGUACUUAUUUGGCCAGUCCCAAAUGAGAUGUGUUGAAACUGUAAAAUUUCAAAGACUUAGUACAAA